UACCAGUAGCACCCCAGAGGUUCUUCCCCAGCCCCUCAAAACCCUACAUCUUACCAAGACUCCAUCCAACCAGUCCCCGGUGACCAGUCAUGUUCAGGCCCAGCCUGCAGGCCAGGAGAAGAAGUUUGACCUCCUCUCUGACUUGGGUGGAGAUAUUUUUGCUGCCCCCCAAGCUCAAACUGCCAGCUCCUCAAACUUUGCUAAUUUUGCACAUUUUAACAGGCCCUCAGCACAAAAUAAUGCCACCACAGACUUUGCAAACUUUGAUUCCUUUGGAAAUGCCAGUGUACCGUCACAUUUUGGCACAUCACCCCCCUCAAAGCCUUCCCUUCAACAAGCCCACACAGGUACCACACCCUGC